UACGUAGGCAGCGAGCGUUGUUCGGAGUUACUGGGCGUAAAGGGUGUGUAGGCGGUUGUUUAAGUUUGGUGUGAAAUUUCCCGGCUCAACUGGGAGGGUGCGCCGAAUACUGAAUGACUUGGAGUGCGGGAGAGGUGAGUGGAAUUUCUGGUGUAGCGGUGAAAUGCGUAGAUAUCAGGAGGAACACCGGUGGUGUAGACGGCUCACUGGACCGUAACUGACGCUGAGACACGAAAGCGUGGGUAGCAAACAGG
rnacentral:rRNA from 1 species